GAGGAUAUUAACUAACAUGCCUUUCCUCACUUCCUGCUUGCAUUUGACCAACAUCAACUAGAGCUGCUGGAGGUUGCCUUCAAUUGCUCCAAAAAGAGGCAGAGGGAAAAAAAAGUCAGUUUCUUGGUUAACAUUCAUCAUCUUUUCCCCCAUGUUCAUUCCCACUUGGAGCCACAGAAGAAGGAAAUUUUAAAAAAUACUUUACGUCAUCACUGUAGCAGAUUCCUCAUAAUACGGUUAUGUUGUCCAGGCUGGAAGGCAGUGACUAUUCACAGGUGUGAUCCCACUAUGGACCAG
rnacentral:lncRNA from 10 species